AGUCUACGCUGAUACAAAUAAACUGAAUAUAUAAAUAAAUGGGAAAGAAGAGUCAAAUAUCCUCUGCAGAAGGAUUCCAAGCAAUUUUUGUUAAUAGUCUGCCUUCAAGGAAGUAAUAAUGUCCUACUCCUUAAGUGUGGGCUGACAAAAGUGACUUUAUUCCAAAGAAUACAGUACAGAAAGGGAGAAAUAAAACUUUACCUUGGAGAAACCUGACAAACACCACUUCAGUCAGGUGACCAAGGAUAAGAACAGUGGUAAAUAUAUUGACGGUAUGUCUCCUUUAUUAGAUAUGAUGAGAAUGGCAUUUCUGUGGUCUUCUUUGCAAAACAUGUAACGCCUGUGUGAUCACAAGACAAAAAUCAAGCAAACCCAUUUUGGGACAUUAUACAAAAUAGCUGACCAAUACUUCUCAAAAGUGUCAAGGUCAUCAAAAACAGGAAAAGUCUGAGAAACUCUCACAGCUAAGUGGAGCUGUUGGAGAUAUGAUAACUAAAUGUAACCUGAAUAGGAUCCUGGGACAGGAAAAGGACAUUAGGGGAAAUCUGAAUAAAGUAUGUACUUUAGUUAAUAAUAAUGUAUCAAUAUUGGUUAAUUGUGACAAACGUACCAUACUAAUGUAAGAUGUUAAUAAUAGGGGACAGUGCAUAUGGGAUACUCUGUACUAUCUUUGUAAAAAUCUGUAUAUUUAAAACCAUCCUAAAAGUUUAUUAAAAAAAAAAAAAAAAAAAACACUGUAAGCAAAUAAGCUACUCAAGAUCCAGGGGGGAAAAAAUCACAUAGGUACAUGGGUCUGUCAAAUGGUAAAGCAGGGCUUAACAGAAAUUUCCUGGGAGACAAUUCCUAAGAAAAAAGUGUCAGCAAACUAGAGAUUAACAAAUGAGAACAGCACAGCAUCUGGUCACUCAGCUUUUUCUCCUGGCUCAAUCUCCAGUAUCUAAAUCUGGUGGAAACAGCUAUAUGCAAAAAUACACAAAAAUCAACAAAAAACAUGGAAAGGAGUGUUUUGUAAAAACUUUAUAAAAUAUCAAGGCCCAAGUGGCAAUUGUGUACUACCAAUGUGGGAUAGGAUAAUUCUAUUGUAGGUAGAGAGGGAAUUCACUUUUCUGUUGGGACAUAGCGUUGCUUAGUCCAUCAUGAUUUCCAGCCCACCAGCAGCAGCUGGGGCCUUAGGAGGGUACAGGAUCCAUGAGAAGGGGCACACUACCUGCCAAGUAUGGCAUUAACCAGGGAGAGUGGCACCCACCUCUCAGCUAUCUGGACUUAUUUCUGAGCACAGGUGAGACCUCCUUCAGCCCUCCCCCAAGUAUCUGACUGGGUACUGGUUCUGCUAGUGCAAAGGGAGAGAGUAGGAGCCAGCCUAACACAGUUCAUACAUUCAAUACCUUGAUCUUCUCCACAUCUCUAGGCUAGUUUUAUGUCCGUUUCAGGUGUCAAGGCUGUCCCUUUCAGCAAUGGAGCUGUAAUAACCACUGGGUUGACUCCUCCAGCUUCCAGCCCCAGAGAGAAAAAGGGACAGAUGAACAAAAAAGAACAGAAAAAAUCACCCACAGAUAACCACUGUUAAUCUUUUAGUGGACACAGCUUUCAGGAUUGUUUUCUAUACAUAAAUUACUAGAGGCAACUCUCCUAACCAGCUUCGCGAUCAACGUUUUUCUCUACGCACGGAACGGCAGAGGGGGUUUACUUCCACUGUCUCACUACUGGGGCGUCCCCAGCCCACCAUCUUCGGCUCCAAAAUGGACGGAGGGCAGAGAAGAGGAUGUGCCUAGAAAGCGGGCAUGGAUACUUGGGGGUGCUCGCCUUCCUCACCCUCUGCCCACUGGUUGCUUGAUCCCCCUCAGCCACCCUUAGCGGUUUUCCCACCGUCAUCUCUGUCCACACUCGGGCCAGAUUCCCUCGACCCGACCCCACCCCCAGCCUUUCCCCCUACGAUACCCGUUCCCCUUCCGCCAUUCUAGUGUUCCGCUAGCAGCGUGGAAGGCCCACAUACUGACCUGGAAGAAGCUGGACCGAGAAUUAGGAGCCCAGGGACCGGAGCAUACGGGACCCAGCCACAGGGACAGAGGGCAGGCACUCGGACCGGUGCCCACAUCUGCGCCCGGGCAGAUCACGUGAACGCCGCAGCGUUGGAGUUCCACCGCCCCAUGCCCCGCCUCCUGCCCAGCCGCUUUCAGCCACCCACAACCUCUCUCCAGCAGGUACU